GUGAGUUCCCAGGUUCAUCGUGCCGUUUCCGUUCGCAAAAUUAAGGGAAGAUGUUCAGACAUCGUCGCCUGGCCGUUCAUACACAAAACAACUCGCGCUGUGUGUGCUGCCCCACUUCCUGCCACUUCACUAAUGGCCGGCCGCCCAUUACCCAUUUGUUGCCUGUCAGCUCCAAACCUCCCCGUCCUUCCCUCGCUGUGUGAGGACAAGGCUGAACUCCGUGUCAUUUGCCAGCUGGCCAGUGCCCUUCAGCCCAGAUCUCUAUGCCAAGCAGUCUGAAAUCUUUCUGAGCAACCACUACACCACCUCCGAGGUCAGGGUCUUUGGUGCCCCGGAGGUUCUGGAGAACUUGGAGGCAUUGUGAAGACCCAGUUUCCCUAGCUGUGCAGCUGCAAGGUCACUAGACAGAUAAACUCAAGUUGCAAAACACGUUUUCCUAGAAAACCCCAGGCCUCCAUUCUGCUUGCUGCAGCCGCUGGAACCACAGAUGCUCCCUGGCAGGGCCACCAUACCCUCCAGCACCAGCUCCUCACCUCAUGCCUCUCAGGCAGAUUUGGAUCAUCUGCCUGGCCAGGUAGGCCUGCAAGCCUAUGGCCCCUGGGAAAGAUAUAAUAAAUGCCGUUGGCUUUUGAUUUGC
rnacentral:lncRNA from 1 species